GUCCGCUCAGAGAAGUCCCCAUUUUCAGUCCGUUUCGAACCAGCUGGUUGGGGGGCAGCCAUGGAAGAUCUGCAUUCAUUGUUAGACAUGCGUGGGGGGCCGUCGAUUUUUGUUUGGGAGGUGCGCUGCAAAUCCAGCCGCACUUUUAGUCUUCGUCUCACAGAUUUGUGGUCGGGAGAUUUCCCAUCCUUUCUACAGCCUUCGACUCAGACUUCCAUCUUUCUUGCUUGCGAAUUUUUGCAUCCUUUGUCUUCAGUUUAACGGAUUAAUGAUUUGCUGAUGGGUUUCUGAGCAUACUGUCGAAUCCUUUGAUUCCUUGACCAAAUUGAUUAUGCUGCUGUGAUGAUCUGUUGUAGUCAAUAUUGUUGUUGUGGGAAAGUAAGCAUGCCAAUUUCAACAAUUUGUAAUGAUCUUGCUGCUGUAAUGGGUUGUUAAUUUGUUGUUGGAUUGAUAGGAUUAGAUGAUUACAAUAUCUGAGCAUGUUGGUGAUUACAAUAUCUUGGACAUGGUUUUCUUUUGUUUGUUGUAAAAUAAAACAUAAGCAGAAAGCCAUGUUCAACAAACAUCAAUUUUCUAGGGUUAGGGUUUUCGUUUCAUUCUCAGAUGAUUUGAUGGGCAACACGAUUUGUUCAGGAUGACUCUGCAUAUAUAUAUUUGAUUAAUUGAGGGUCGAGAUUAUAAAUGAGAACUCUCAGAUGAGUUUUUGAAGUUCUCUGUUUUUUACUUUACAGGAAAAAAUGGAAAAUUGUUAUUGAUUAUAUUAGUAUAAUUUGUUUAGGCACCGUCUUUCUAGGAUUUUAUUGCUUGCAUAGUUUAUUUUCUAUGCUUGGAAUUACAAUGAAAAUUUCCUUUCGUUGUUUUUUGGUUGUUGAAGGGUUUGAGCCAGGAAAAAGGUGAUUUUGCAACCUCACCAAAGCAUUUCAGGUAAGAACCAUACCCUUGAAUUUUCCUUUUGGACCAAAAUUAAGCAUUUUGUUUUGUGGUUUAUCAUAUGAUUGGGUUCUAUGUUUGAGCUUAUGGAUUGGUUCAUGGUGGAUUUGAAUUGGCACGCAGAGUUGCUUGGGUGAAGCUGAUGACUGUGUGCGUUGCAGGACUAAACAAAAUGGUGCAACUACAUCUAUUCGUGGACUUUGAAAUAGAAACAAAGGGACUGUUCGUGCGUGAAUAAAGGCUUGCCAUUGCCCUUGCUGAUGUUGUGGGACAGAGCCAGUGUAUGUGUACAGAAGUUACGAACAACACAGAAUGUUGACUGACUUUGAAGGUGCUACAAGAAAAAAUGAAGUAGGGUUCUGCAUUUGGACUAGCAAAGAGUUCCACCAGUACCAGGUUGUUGGGAGGAAGCUCCCUACAGCAUCUGAUGAGCACCCCGGAAUUUUCUGAAUGAAGCUCUGGGCCACCAAUGAGGUUUGCGCCAGGUCCAAGUUCUGGUAUUUCCUGAGGAAGCUGAAGAAGGUCAAGAAGAGCAAUGGCCAAGUGCUUGCCAUUAAUGAGUGGUUCCUCCUCAACUCUCCUCCUGGCUUAAUCCAAUUUGUUGCCAAAGGAGGCUGCGUCAGAGGCAUCCCCUCGAAAUGACCGGCUGAUUUGGAGAUGUGACAUGAAGCAGAAACAGUUAAGGAAAUCUCAUAUGAAAUGGGUAUUUUAUGUUGGAGUGAGAGUAGUUGUCAAAGAUGGCAUCAAAGCUUAGCAAAUCUAUGCUUGAUGGGGUUGAAAUUACGAUUUAAUCAGUGAUAGGACUUUUGGUUGAAUCCCAAGCAGGGAAUGCAUUCUUUGCCAUGGUUCCCAGACAGGUCCUCUUGGCUUCCCUUGAUGCUAUCAGUAGGAAGGCGAAUUGAGUCAGUGGUAGUCCCACCGGAGCAGCUCAAGUCCUCUGAUUUUACUGAUCAACAAGAAUAUGAUGCCUGCAAAAUGAAAUAAAGGAGUUUUUCUGGAAGGUGAUGCUGUUGUUGCCAUCGCUAAGAAGGUGAAGAACAACAACCAUGUAGUAAGAAAGUUGGAGAAGCGUCAAUAGAUUUGUACCCUUGACCAACAUAUUGAAUAGCAAUUUGGUGGUGGUCGUCUAUUGGCUUGUAUCUCAAUCCCGACCUAGACAGUGGCUGUGUUGAUGGGUAUGUGACUUUAUUUGCCUAUGUCUAUUUCUAGUCAGCAGAUUUGUCAUAGGCAUAUUAAUGUAGUUACCGAAUUGCAAGGGCUAAAAUUUGGAUGAUAACAGCUUCUUUUUAUUGUUGUUUUAAAGUGAGGUAUGUAUGGGUCUUAUGAAAUUUUUACAUAAAUAUAUUGGAGGGCAAAUAAUUUUAUUUUAGUUUUUUAUUCCCAAAUGAUAUCCAAAACAUGUAAGCUUCACACUAUGUUAAUUUAUGCAGGAUGGGAAAACAUUGGACAAUGAGUUGGAGGUUGUUGAGGGAAUGAAGCUAGACAGGGUCUACAUAUCCCCUUAUUUCAUCACCAACCAGAACAAUCAAAAAUGUGUAAGUUUUAGUUUGACUCAACGAUAACUAUGUCUUGAAACUGUUAGAGGGCUGCUUGUUAAAGUUAGCAGCACCUCAAAUCGCUUUUUGCUUGAUGCUGAUUAUCUUCAAAUUUGUGUAUGUGCUGAUAAGAAUUGGAAAAUCCUCUAAUCAUAAUCCAUGAGAAGAAAAUCUCAAGUAUUAAAUGAUGUGGUUAAAGUAUUGGAGUUGGUUUUGCAACUUAGCAUUUCUCUGAUUAGGUUCACUAGUUUCUUCUUUUUUACUAUGAAUUGGUUGACAAACUUUUGCUCCUUUUCAGAAGCAAAGGUCUUUGCAUUUUGUUAUAUAUUUCAGAACCAAAGUUAUAAAAGAAAAUGGUUUUCCUCUUUGUCAAUUGAGAAUCAUUUGCAGUUAUGAUUUCGGAUAUGUAGAUAACCUGUUGUUGCUAAUAUUGCUACACGGGAGGAGAAUAGAACAACUUGGAAAAUGUGCAAGAAGGGAGAGGUCAGGUACCUCUGAUCCUUUUGUGAAGUCAGGUACCUCUGAUCCUUGAAGGUUCACUAGUCACCUACGUAAAUCUUCCCCUGCUUGAAAAAUAACCUGAAAGAUAGUAAGACUUCUUGUGUAUGAUGGGACCUAAGCUUCUGAAAACGUGCCUUGAAUUCUUAACGGCGCAACAACCUCUAGGCCAGCACAAACGACAGAAUUUAUCUUGAAGGUGGAAGAAUUACUAAAGUUGCCAUGGAUUUGUUGAUCUUGUACUGACUAUAUAUAUAAACGAUUUCACACA